CCUACGUUUUGUGAACUGUUUUGACUAUCAUAGUCAGUGUCUGGUGUGCUGUAACGGCCAUCGAUGCUGACUACACUGAAUGUAUAUUUAAACUGACUGAGAGUACUAUACUUAUAGUAACCAAUGAGAACUUUUAGCAACGGAUCUCUUGGCUCUCGCAACGAUGAAGAACGCAGCGAAAUGCGAUAGGUAGUGUGAAUUGCAGAUACCGUGAAUCAUCAAAUCUUUGAACGCACAUUGCACUGUCUGGAACUCCGGGCAGUAUACCUGUUUGAGUAUCAGCUACUCCUCUCACUAUCAGUACCUUGGUAGCCUAGUGAGGACUUGAGUCAUCAUGGACUAUCCUCGGAUAGCCUGUGCGACUUUAAAUAGCAGUACCAGCGUCCCUAGGAUCGCUGUUAUCUUGCAGAGUUGAUGGCCUUGUGCCUAAUCCUGUUAGGGUAACAGAUCGUAUACCUAGUGGUUAAACGUAGCUGGCUUACCAAACCAUACAGUGAUCAGUAGUUAACUGAUUGACUGUGACUUUGAUCUCAAAUCAGGUAAGAUUACCCGCUGAACUUAAGCAUAUCAAUAAGCGGAGGAA
rnacentral:misc_RNA from 1 species